rnacentral:rRNA from 1 species
CCUACGGGAGGCAGCAGUGGGGAAUAUUGGACAAUGGGCGCAAGCCUGAUCCAGCAAUGCCGCGUGAGUGAUGAAGGCCUUAGGGUCGUAAAGCUCUUUUACCAGGGAUGAUAAUGACAGUACCUGGAGAAUAAGCUCCGGCUAACUCCGUGCCAGCAGCCGCGGUAAUACGGAGGGAGCUAGCGUUGUUCGGAAUUACUGGGCGUAAAGCGUACGUAGGCGGUUAUUCAAGUCAGAGGUGAAAGCCCGGGGCUCAACCCCGGAACGGCCUUUGAAACUAGGUAGCUAGAAUCUUGGAGAGGUCAGUGGAAUUCCGAGUGUAGAGGUGAAAUUCGUAGAUAUUCGGAAGAACACCAGUGGCGAAGGCGACUGACUGGACAAGUAUUGACGCUGAGGUACGAAAGCGUGGGGAGCAAACAGGAUUAGAUACCCUGGUAGUCCACGCCGUAAACGAUGAUAACUAGCUGUCCGAGCUACGUGUCGUCGUGGUGGCGCGACGACGUACGACUAAGUUAAGUUACGUCCGUCCGGUCGGGUACGGGUACGGUCGACGAACGUAAACUUAAAACGUUAAAGUAAAGUUAGUACGGCGUGAGACGUACGACCGACGGACGACGACGAGGGAGGUAGG